CAACAACUAAGUGAUGAAAAGUUGAUUGAAGUUUCACCACAAGAUCAUAAAAGCCAGUGCUCGGAAGAGAAAAUCAUGGGAACAAAUGUAAGAGAGUGUCCUUCGGCAUGCGUAGUUCCAUCCAAUCCAUUAUCAAGGGCUUCCCAUG